rnacentral:tRNA from 1 species
CGGGGUAUGGCGCAGUUUGGUAGCGCGCUACGUUCGGGACGUAGAGGCCGUCGGUUCAAAUCCGGCUACCCCGAC